rnacentral:rRNA from 1 species
AUUGAACGCUGGCGGCAGGCCUAACACAUGCAAGUCGAACGAGUGGCGGACGGGUGAGUAAUGUCUGGGAAACUGCCCGAUGGAGGGGGAUAACUACUGUAAACGGUAGCUAAUACCGCAUACCAUCGGAUGUGCCCAGAUGGGAUUAGCUAGUAGGUGGGGUAAAGGCUCACAUAGGCGACGAUCCAUAGCUGGUCUGCGAGGAUGACCAGCCAGACUGGAACUGAGACACGGUCCAGACUCUUACGGGAGGCAGGAGUGGGGAAUAUUGCACAAUGGGCGCAAGCAUGAUUCAGCCAUGCCGCGUGAAUGAAGAAGGCUUUCGGGUUGUAAAGUACUUUCAGCGAAGAGGCGUUACUCGCAGAAGAAGCACCGGCUAACUACGUGCCAGCAGCCGCGGUAAUAC